rnacentral:rRNA from 1 species
CCUACGGGCGGCAGCAGUGGGGAAUAUUGGGCAAUGGGCGAAACCCUGAUCCAGCGACGCCGCGUGAGGGAAGAAGUAUUUCGGUAUGUAAACCUCUGUCAGCAGGGAAGAAAGAAAUGACGGUACCUGACCAAUAAGCCCCGGCUAACUACGUGCCAGCAGCCGCGGUAAUCCGUAGGUGGCAAGCGUUAUCCGGAAUUACUGGGGGUAAAGGGCGAGUAGACGGGUAAGAAAGUCAGGAGUGAAAGGCCGGGGCUCAACCCCGGGACUGCUUUGGAAACUGGUGAACUGGAGUGCGGGAGAGGAAAGCGGAAUUCCUGGUGUAGCGGUGAAAUGCGUAGAUAUUAGGAGGAACACCAGUGGCGAAGGCGGCGUACUGGAAUGUAACUGACGCUGAGGCGCGAAAGCGUGGGGAGCAAACAGGAUUAGAUACCCCGGUAGUC